rnacentral:lncRNA from 1 species
UAUUGUGUCUGUUGGUUGUUUCUACUGUGUGCAGGAGUUCAGUAGGCAGGGAUCUGGGCUGUUUCUGUGAUUUCUGCCAGUCACCAUGUGUUCACUGCCCUCUACAGGAUCCUUUUCAAAGUGGCAUAGAUCCUGGUGGCUGUGUGCAAACACAGGUCCUGUGGUUGUGGAUUCUCUAUUGGUGAUCUGUGGUGCAGAACUGUUUUCCCUGGCUAAUACAACUCGGCGGAGUAUUGCCCUUACUACUGGCUAAAAAGACUCAAUCAUUGGUUCAGCUGGGUAAUAGUUCUAAACCAUGGUUCUAAACCAUGGGCAUUGCUUCCCUCUGCUGACUGGGACUGAAACAGCAUCUAGUCAAUGUCCAAAUACCUGCCAGCAUUGGCCAUGAUCUAGGCCUCCUGGGACACAGGCAACUUCCUGUAUUGACAUGCCUCUGUCUGGCUACAACUACAAUCUGGGGACCAUCCAUCUAAGCUGCCCAGGCUGUAAGUAGUUUCCUGCCCUUAUGGGCCUCCAAUGACUACCGUAAUCUGGACACCUUCCCUUUCCUCUGUCAUGGACCAAAACUACCUUCCACUUGGAUCUGAGCUCUCACUUCCUGAGGUUUCAGCAACUUUUAACUAGUAGCAAUUCUUCUACAAAUUCUUUCUAGAAGGAUUUUAAAGAUAUCCCACUACAAGGGUACCAGUAAUUUGUUGCUAUCUGAAGGUGGGAAGAUAGUGUGUGGAUUUAAUUUUUUCUUGGGCAGCUUAUUCACUAUGGGUGCCACAAUUUGGCUGCCAUGUCCAACAUAGAUUUCUGGCUUCUAUUUUGGUUAAACUGUUGAAGGAAUCAGGCAAGAGGCAGCAAACAGCAUUCAAAGAGUGGGAGAAACCAAACUUUAUUUUACGCCGCGGCCCCAGAGAUCAAAACUCCUGAUUCUGAGCUUCCUUUACCAGUUUUUCAUAACAUUUUAUUUUUUAUUUUUUUAAAUUUUUAAUUGAUUUUUUAAAAAAAUAAAUGACAGGGGAAUACAUUAUAAUUUUCAUUACACAUACAGCACAAUUUUUCAUAUCUCUGGUUGUAUAUAAAGUAUGUUCACACCAAUUCAUGUUUUCAUACAUGUACUUUUGAUAAUGAUGUCCAUCACAUUUCGCCAUCCUUGCUAAUCCCCUUUCCUUCCCUCCUCUCUUCCCUAUCUAGAAUUCAUCUAAUCCUCCCAUGCUCCCCUUCCCUACCCCACAAUGAGUCAGCCUCCUUAUAUCAGAGAAAACAUUUG